AUUGAACGCCGGCGGCAGGCCUAACACAUGCAAGUCGGACGGUAGCACAGAGGAGCUUGCUCCUCGGGUGACGAGUGGCGGACGGGUGAGUAAUGUCUGGGGAUCUGCCCGAUAGAGGGGGAUAACCACUGGAAACGGUGGCUAAUACCGCAUAACGUCGCAAGACCAAAGAGGGGGACCUUCGGGCCUCUCACUAUCGGAUGAACCCAGAUGGGAUUAGCUAGUAGGCGGGGUAAUGGCCCACCUAGGCGACGAUCCCUAGCUGGUCUGAGAGGAUGACCGGCCACACUGGAACUGAGACACGGUCCAGACUCCUACGGGAGGCAGCAGUGGGGAAUAUUGCACAAUGGGCGCAAGCCUGAUGCAGCCAUGCCGCGUGUAUGAAGAAGGCCUUCGGGUUGUAAAGUACUUUCAGCGGGGAGGAAGGCGAUGUGGUUAAUAACCUUGUCGAUUGACGUUACCCGCAGAAGAAGCACCGGCUAACUCCGUGCCAGCCGCCGCGGUAA
rnacentral:rRNA from 1 species